rnacentral:rRNA from 1 species
AUUGAACGCUGGCGGCAGGCCUAACACAUGCAAGUCGAGCGAGCGGCGGACGGGUGAGUAAUGUCUGGGAAACUGCCUGAUGGAGGGGGAUAACUACUGGAAACGGUAGCUAAUACCGCAUACCAUCAGAUGUGCCCAGAUGGGAUUAGCUAGUAGGUGGGGUAACGGCUCACCUAGGCGACGCUCCCUAGCUGGUCUGAGAGGAUGACCCGCCACACUGGAACUGAGAAAGGGUCCAGACUCCUACGGGAGGCAGCAGGGGGGAAUAUUGCACAAUGGGCGCAGGCCUGAUGCACCCAUGCCGCGUGUGUGAAGAAGGCCUUGGGGUUGUAAAGCACUUUCAGCGGGGAGGCGUUACCCGCAGAAGAAGCACCGGCUAACUCCGUGCCAGCAGCCGCGGUAAAC